GGCCUAAUGGUCUAGUCGUAUGAUUCCUGCUUUGGGUAUGCUUCUUUCCCCAUCCUACGCUGCAGGAGGUCCUGGGUUCAAUUCCCAGUUGGGCCC